UAAUACGGAGGGUGCAAGCGUUGUUCGGAAUCACUGGGCGUAAAGGGCGCGCAGGCGGUCCUAUUAGCCAGAUGUGAAAGCCCACGGCUCAACCGUGGAAGUGCAUUUGAAACUGUAGGACUUGAGUAUCAGAGGGGAAAGUGGAAUUCCCGGUGUAGAGGUGAAAUUCGUAGAUAUCGGGAGGAAUACCGGUGGCGAAGGCGACUUUCUGGCUGAAUACUGACGCUGAGGCGCGAAAGCGUGGGGAGCAAACAGGAUUAGAUACCCUGGUAGUCCACGCCGUAAACGAUGUGCACUAGAUGUAGGAGGUAUUGAUCCCUUCUGUGUCGCAGCUAACGCAUUAAGUGCACCGCCUGGGGAGUACGGUCGCAAGAUUA
rnacentral:rRNA from 1 species